CGGGACGGGUGGGUAAUGUCUGGGAAACUGCCUGAUGAGGGGGGAUAACUACUGGAAACGGUAGCUAAUACCGCAUAACGUCGCAAGACCAAAGAGGGGGACCUUCGGGCCUCUUGCCAUCGGAUGUGCCCAGAUGGGAUUAGCUAGUAGGUGGGGUAACGACUCACCUAGGCGACGAUCCCUAGCUGGUCUGAGAGGAUGACCAGCCACACUGGAACUGAGACACGGUCCAG
rnacentral:rRNA from 1 species